rnacentral:rRNA from 1 species
GACGAACGCUGGCGGCGUGCCUAAUACAUGCAAGUCGAGCGGACCGGAUUGGGGCUUGCCUUGAUUCGGUCAGCGGCGGACGGGUGAGUAACACGUGGGCAACCUGCCCGCAAGACCGGGAUAACUCCGGGAAACCGGAGCUAAUACCGGAUAACACCGAAGACCGCAUGGUCUUCGGUUGAAAGGCGGCCUUUGGGCUGUCACUUGCGGAUGGGCCCGCGGCGCAUUAGCUAGUUGGUGAGGUAACGGCUCACCAAGGCGACGAUGCGUAGCCGGCCUGAGAGGGUGACCGGCCACACUGGGACUGAGACACGGCCCAGACUCCUACGGGAGGCAGCAGUAGGGAAUCUUACGCAAUGGGCGAAAGCCUGACGGAGCGACGCCGCGUGAGCGAAGAAGGCCUUCGGGUCGUAAAGCUCUGUUGUGAGGGACGAAGGAGCGUCGUUCGAAGAGGGCGGCGCGGUGACGGUACCUCACGAGAAAGCCCCGGCUAACUACGUG